rfam:Salmo salar isolate Sally breed double haploid chromosome ssa12, whole genome shotgun sequence.
AAAAAGGCUCUUUUGAGAGCUACCAGAUUUAUUAUAUAUAUAAAAAG